AUUCUUAAUGGGGAUUUUAACCUGGUGCGGCAUGAGGAGGAACGCAGCACAGGCAGAGCUAACUGAAGGUUGGUGAACAUGUUUCGCCACACAAUAAACAAGUUGGGCCUGCACGAGAUGCCUCUUGUUGGAAGAAAGUUUACCUGGUGUAACGGGCAGGAGCGACCGAUCAUGGCAAAGCUGGAUAGGCUG
rnacentral:rRNA from 1 species